GGAUUAGAUACCCUGGUAGUCCACGCCGUAAACGAUGUCUAUUAGCCGUUGGGGAACUUGAUUCCUUAGUGGCGCAGCUAACGCGAUAAAUAGACCGCCUGGGGAGUACGGUCGCAAGAUUAAAACUCAAAUGAAUUGACGGGGGCCCGCACAAGCGGUGGAGCAUGUGGUUUAAUUCGAUGCAACGCGAAGAACCUUACCAAGACUUGACAUCCAGAGAAUUCGCUAGAGAUAGCUUAGUGCCUUCGGGAACUCUGAGACAGGUGCUGCAUGGCUGUCGUCAGCUCGUGCCG
rnacentral:rRNA from 1 species